UCUGGUGAUGAUGGCGGAGGGGAUCCACUCGUUCCCAUCCCGAACACGACCGUUAAGCCCUCCAGCGCCGAUGGUACUUGGGGUGCAGACCCCUGGGAGAGUAGGACGUUGCCAGGC
rnacentral:rRNA from 1 species